rnacentral:misc_RNA from 1 species
ACAAAUGCUUAAUUGCAUCCACCUUUUGUGCACCGUAAUUUUUUCCACUUAAAAUUUUGUCUGAUUAAUCUUCGUUCCGAAAAGAACGUAAAUUGUAAUCAAAUA